CCUACGGGAUGCAGCAGUAGGGAAUCUUCGGCAAUGGACGAAAGUCUGACCGAGCAACGCCGCGUGAGUGAAGAAGGUUUUCGGAUCGUAACACUCUGUUGGUAGAGAAGAACGUUGGUGAGAGUGGAAAGCUAAUCAAGUGACGGUAACUCCCCAGAAAGGGACGGCUAACUACGUGCCAGCAGCCGCGGUACGACGUAGGUCCCGAGCGUUGUCCGGAUUGAUUUGGCGUAAAGCUAGCGCAGGUGGUUUAUUAAGUCUGGUGCAAAAGGCAGUGGCUCAACCAUUGUAUGCAUUGGAAACGGUUAGACUUGAGUGCAGGAGAGGAGAGUGGAAUUCCAUGUGUAGCGGUGAAAUGCGUAGAUAUAUGGAGGAACACCGGUGGCGAAGGCGGCUCUCUGGCCUGUAACUGACACUGAGGCUCGAAAGCGUGGGGAGCAAACAGGAUUAGAUACCCUUGUAGUC
rnacentral:rRNA from 1 species